AACUUGAUCUUUAAGCCCUUCAACAUCAUGCCAAAUUUUAGCUUGAUCCAACUAGUAGAUCUCUAGAUAUCACAAAAAUUCUAUCCAACCUCAAAUUUUCAACUUCCAAAAUCCACUUGUGCUAAAAAUUAGAUAUCUCUAAACCUCAUUGUUAGAUUAUCACAAAAUUUUGUAUACACUUAGCACACUCAAUAAUCCAAACAAUAUCAAAUUUUGAACUAUAGAUGCUACACCAAUUGCACGAACUAGCCAAAUUUGUUAGCCCUAAUUAUAUUAUAUAAAACCCAAAUCACCAAUACAAACCCUGACUUUGAACAAUGGUUGCUAAGUCCUUAAUAACCUUCCAAAAACCACCUUUAUUCUUCUAGAAAGAACUUUAAGCUAGCUCUCAAGCUCUAAUCUUUUAUCUUCAAAUGAAAUCCUAUUUUGCCCUAGGCCACCGUUUCAGUAGCUAGAGGUCUGAUUUUGAUCCUAUCUCACAAAUGGUCGACCCCC
rnacentral:lncRNA from 1 species